UGGACAUAGGUCUUCCCCAAGGCACGCCAC
rnacentral:sRNA from 1 species